AAGCUACAGUCAUAGACACCUUGGACAUUUCUGUUUAACCAAUUUGUGCCUUUGAAUCUAAUCGUACAACAUAUUUUCAAGCCAUAGACACCGUAGACAUUUCUGUUUAACCAAAUUGUGCCUUUGGAUCUAAUCGUACAACAUAUUUUCAAGCUAUAGCCAUAGACACCGUAGACAUUUCUGUUUAACCAAAUUGUGCCUUUGGAUCUAAUCGUACAACAUAUUUUCAAGAACCAUGGACUCCGAGUUCUCCGACAACGACGACAGUGGUUGGACCAGGAUCAAAGAGUGGCCGCCUGCCAAAGACUCCGGCGAAAGAAUAUGAUCUUUUUGUGACACUGGAGGAAAAACCAUCUCGCCAUCAAGCGGCCGUGUGAUUCAACGGGAGAAGCCACUGAACAUCGCGAUAUCUCCGGGCUGGAAGGGGACACCAGUAUCAUCUUUCCAAAGGAGGGCGACGUGGUGCCCUACUGUGCGCCAACCCACACCCGAUUUUCCGUCGGUAGUGGUGUGAUUUCCGCUUCACGGGCCUGAUCUCGCUGAAGCAGGCGCUGUGUGAUACUUUCCUGCAAGUGCCGAUGCUCCUGGGCGAGCCGCUGCAUCUCUUCACCCAUGAUGAGGUGAUCAGUACGGACUCGACGCGCCGCUUCUCGGGUCUGGGAAUGCCCCAAAAGGCCCGUGCGCGGCGACCUCAUCGUCGACUUCCCGAUCGAGUUUCCGAAAACGAUGUCAGAGUGGGCCAGAUCCUCGCUCUAGUUAAUCUUGCCCUGCUCCCCAUAAGACUACAAGCUUAUGGGGUGCAGGGCAAGAGGAAUUAGAGUGGGGAACUGCCCUUCUGUGACAUCGUUUUCGUAAUCUCAAUCGGAAAGUCUACGAUGAGGUCGCCGCGGCACGAGCCGUUUAUCGGAUGGGACAGUCCCUGUCCCGGGAAGCGGUGCAUGGAGUCCGCGCUGAUCACCUCACUCUGGGUGGACAGAUCCAUCAGCUCCCCCAAGAGCGUCGGCACUUCCAGGAGGGUAUCGCACAACGCCUGCUUCAGCGAAAUCAGAUCUGUGUAGCAUAGAUCGCACCCCUCCCGGCGGAAGAUCGGCUGAGGCUUGUCCCGAAGAACGAACCCCAAGUUGUCGACGUGGGCCUGGGACUGCUCCAUCAGUCGCGGCGGCCUCAUCGUCGACUUCUCCAUCGAAUUCCCGAAUAGAUGUCGCAGAUGGCCAGAUACUCUACUUCCUCUUGCUCUGCUCCCCAUGAGUCGCUGCCACAUCGAAAUUGACGGCGUUUUCAAGUACAUCACAUUGUAUUCCCCACUAUAACAUAUCCAGAAUUCGAGUUUCGUCAUCAAAAAAUCCACGAAAGAAACGGUUGGGUAUAGUUAAUUAGAUGUAUCAGGACUAAGCGUCGGUGGAGCGUGUCUUCAACUGAGGAUUGUGUGAAAGCGCACUCUUGGCGCUGCUUGAUGGAUUAGUGUACUUGGAGCGGAAGCGGUUAGAGAGCUUUAAAACAAAAAACCAUAAACACCUCCUGAAAAAUUCGCUGUUCCCAAAAUAUAAAAAAAAUAAAAUAAAAUAGAAACUCCUUAAUUCCGACAAGUUCUUUUGGGCAGCUCGCUAUAAAAUAUAUAAAUGAAAUUAUAAUCAAAACAGAAACAAAUAUAUCCCUAUAUAUUCUUUACGCUUCUUUGGGCAGCUUUAAGAUAUGAAAAUAUUUACAAGGCUGACCAAAACUUACCUUUUUUAAACUUCAAAAGGUGAACAUUUCGUCAUCGUAGCUCUGCAACUAUGAGAGUAAUCGCCUAAAAACUGUCAGGCAGAUGGA